rnacentral:rRNA from 1 species
AUUGAACGCUGGCGGCAGGCUUAACACAUGCAAGUCGAACGAGUGGCGGACGGGUGAGUAAUGCUUGGGAAUCUAGCUUAUGGAGGGGGAUAACUACGGGAAACUGUAGCUAAUACCGCGUACCAUAGGAUGAGCCCAAGUGGGAUUAGGUAGUUGGUGAGGGAAAGGCUCACCUAGGCGACGAUCCCUAGCUGGUCUGAGAGGAUGACCAGCCAAACGGGAACUGAGACACGGUCCAGACUCCAACGGGAGGCAGCAGUGGGGAAUAUUGCACAAUGGGCGCAAGCCGGAUGCAGCCAGGCCGCUUGUGUGGAGAAGGCCUUCGGGUUGUAAAGCACUUUCAGCGAGGAGGCGUUACUCGCAGAAGAAGCACCGGCUAACUCCGUGCCAGCAGCCGCGGUAAUAC